GAAAUGCGAUAAGUAAUGUGAAUUGCAGAAUUCAGUGAAUCAUCGAAUCUUUGGACACACCUUGCGCUCCUUGGUAUUCCUUGGAGCAUGCCUGUUUGAGUAUCAUGAAAUCUUCAAAGUAAAUCUUUUGUUAACUCAAUUGGUUUCUACUUUGGUAUUGGAGGUCUUUGCAGCUUCACACCUGCUCCUCUUUGUUCAUUAGCUGGAUCUCAGUGUUAUGCUUGGUUCCACUCGGCGUGAUAAGUUAUCUAUCGCUGAGGACACUGUAAAAGGUGGCCAAGGUAAAUGCAGAUGAACCGCUUCUAAUAGUCCAUUGACUUGGACAAUACUUUUAUGAUCUGAUCUCAAAUCAGGUAGGACUACCCGCUGAACUUAAGC
rnacentral:misc_RNA from 1 species